rnacentral:lncRNA from 1 species
GUCCAUCUUUCCCCAGUGAGUCUUGGUGGCCUUCUACCUAGUAACCGGUAGUUGUAAGUCUUAUUUCUGUGGUUUUCGACCCAGUAACCCGUAGAUAUAAUCCCCUCUUUGUUGGUAAUCUUUAUUCAAUAUUCAGUAUUGAUAUUCCUUCGUUUUUAAGAAAUUCAUCCCCCGCGAGUCAUCUUUCAUUUACCCUUUUCUUUGGUAAUGAUUCUU